rnacentral:snoRNA from 12 species
CUUCUCCGCUGAUGUUUUAGCACUGGGCUCUGAGUCUGCGUGAAGAGGCUGUGCAUCUUCGGCCUGACAAGCCGGGGUUUCUGAGGAGAAC